rnacentral:rRNA from 1 species
CAGUCGCACGGGAAUACGGAGGGUGCAAGCGUUAUCCGGAUUUAUUGGGUUUAAAGGGUCCGUAGGCGGAUCUGUAAGUCAGUGGUGAAAUCUCACAGCUUAACUGUGAAACUGCCAUUGAUACUGCAGGUCUUGAGUAAAUUUGAAGUGGCUGGAAUAAGUAGUGUAGCGGUGAAAUGCAUAGAUAUUACUUAGAACACCAAUUGCGAAGGCAGGUCACUAAGAUUUAACUGACGCUGAUGGACGAAAGCGUGGGGAGCGAACAGGAUUAGAUACCCCAGUAGUCCCUGUCUCUUAUACA